rnacentral:rRNA from 1 species
UACGUAGGGGGCAAGCGUUGUCCGGAUUUAUUGGGCGUAAAAGGCUUGUAGGUGGCCACGCCAAGUCGGAUGUGAAAUCUCCCGGCUCAACUGGGAGGGGUCAUUCGAUACUGGCGGGCUCGAGGCCGGUAGGGGGAAGUGGAAUUCCCGGUGUAGUGGUGGAAUGCGUAGAUAUCGGGAGGAACACCAGUGGCGAAGGCGGCUUCCUGGACCGGUUCUGACACUGAGGCGCGACAGCGUGGGGAGCAAACAGG